GAUGAACGCUGGCGGCGUGCCUAAUACAUGCAAGUCGAGCGAACAGACGAGGAGCUUGCUCCUUUGACGUUAGCGGCGGACGGGUGAGUAACACGUGGGUAACCUACCUAUAAGACUGGGAUAACUUCGGGAAACCGGAGCUAAUACCGGAUAAUAUUUCGAACCGCAUGGUUCGAUAGUGAAAGAUGGCUUUGCUAUCACUUAUAGAUGGACCUGCGCCGUAUUAGCUAGUUGGUAAGGUAACGGCUUACCAAGGCAACGAUACGUAGCCGACCUGAGAGGGUGAUCGGACACACUGGAACUGAGACACGGUCCAGACUCCUACGGGAGGCAGCAGUAGGGAAUCUUCCGCAAUGGGCGAAAGCCUGACGGAGCAACGCCGCGUGAGUGAUGAAGGUCUUCGGAUCGUAAAACUCUGUUAUUAGGGAAGAACAAACGUGUAAGUAACUGUGCACGUCUUGACGGUACCUAAUCAGAAAGCCACGGCUAACUACGUG
rnacentral:rRNA from 1 species